rnacentral:rRNA from 1 species
CCUACGGGGGGCAGCAGUGAGGAAUAUUGGUCAAUGGGCGCGAGCCUGAACCAGCCAAGUCGCGUGAGGGAUGACGGUCCUACGGAUUGUAAACCUCUUUUGCCGGGGAGCAAGCGUGCGUUCGUGAACGCACGUCGAGAGUACCCGGAGAAAAAGCAUCGGCUAACUCCGUGCCAGCAGCCGCGGUAAUACGGAGGAUGCGAGCGUUAUCCGGAUUUAUUGGGUUUAAAGGGUGCGUAGGCGGGUUAUCAAGUCAGCGGUAAAAUCGUGGAGCUCAACUCCAUCCAGCCGUUGAAACUGAUGAUCUUGAGUGGGCGAGAAGUAUGCGGAAUGCGCAGUGUAGCGGUGAAAUGCUUAGAUAUUGCGCAGAACUCCGAUUGCGAAGGCAGCAUACCGGCGGCGAUCUGACGCUGAGGCACGAAAGCGUGGGUAUCGAACAGGAUUAGAUACCCGAGUAGUC